rnacentral:lncRNA from 1 species
UCUGGGUUUGUGUUGAGUGUCAAUGAAUCAGAGUCAUGGGGUAGGAAGCAACUACAAUCUGGUUUUAUAUUUCACAGUCACAUUAAAAAUGAUGGCUGGGGACCUACUGAAAAGCAACAUAUGGUUGAUACAGAAAGCUUCAGAAAAAAUCUUCUUCAAAAUCAACCUUAAGUUUUCACAUGGAAUUUAAAUUUCAUUUUAUUUUAGUGACAAGAUUUUUUGAUGCUUUCCAGCUCUUUCUGUCCAGCUCCCUGCUCCUGACAGCAUCCAGCACCCACACAAAGCAGCCUGUUGAAGCCAUCCUCUGUCUCUGAUCUGGGACAGUCUGUGGGUAUGAUGGUGACCAAGACCUCCUUAACAUGUUCCUGCGGUGCCAACGUCACCAUCAGAAACUCUACCACUGGAGAAAGCAAAUUCUCUUGGGAAGACACACUGAAAAUGCUUCUGCCAUUAAUUUCUGCAUUGCCUGGAGAUUAGCCAUAGCUGGGCUACAAAGCGGAUGGGAACUCUGGUUUGGAAGGUAGGAUCUGAACACACUGAUCCUGCGGAGGAACAGGAACUGAGGCAACUUAAAAGUGAGGAGGAGAGAGACUAUUAUCCCUAUUUCACAGAGAUGCUGGAGGAUGGAUUUACCAAGACUAUCAUUUUCAAAUAUUGGAAAAUAUAUUUAUUCUGUAAAUGUCUUGAACUUUUCAUUUCAGAGAGGUGACAGAGGUCACAAAGGAAGUCAGCUGGAAUUACUCUGAGUCACUUCUUUUGUUUAGUCAACCAUUUUAUUUUUUUUUUUGAAGGAUAAGGCUGUUUGUCCUUUAUAUUUCUUGGCCAAUUAAACUCUGUGAAAAGCCCUUGCAGAAGAGCAGGUGGACAUCUGCCUACCUUUGCAGUUGCUGGGAGAGUUUGGAAGUUCUUGCAGCCAGA